CCACUUCAAUUUGCUUCCUUUUUCCUCAUUAUCUACACUAACGCAGAUGAUAGAGCGAGAAACUGAAGCGUCCAAAGGAAACCAGCGGCUUCUCCGACGGUGGCGAUAGCGGCGAGGUCUGAACUCCGACGGUCAUGCGUCUAAACGAAACCAUCGGCUUCUCCGACGGUGGCGAUAGCGGCGAGGCCUGAACUCCGACGGUGGCGACAGCGGCGAGGAGAAUUGCUACCAACGGCAGCAACGUAGGUGGAAAAAAAAAGAAGAAAAUCCGUGGCACAAUCGUCUGGUUUAUCGAAGAAGUACCAAAGAGAUAGAAGAAGCCUACCUCCUAAUUUGUAUAACAGGUGAUUGAUGCCCGAUUAAGUUUAUUUUUAUGUUUUUUGUUUCAUAUUAUUUACCUAGAAGUUAAUAGAAUGUUUUUAGUUGAAGAAUAUCGCAGCCGUCCAUGUAUAGUGACAUGGUUUAGGGAUAUGGAUAUCUAAAUUCUAAUGAACCUCUGUUAAUAAGGAUGGUUUGGUUGAGAACUAUAGGGGGCAGAGGAGAUGAUGUUAAUCCGAACAUCACAGUGUUUAAUGGAGCCUAUUUUUGUACAAAUUUUUAGGCCUUUGAUUUGUCAACUUUUGAAAGAUAAAAUUUAGCCACAGUCUUCGUAGCUGGCUUCGCCUUCACAACCGGCUUUCGCAGACGGUUUAGCUUUCACAGCUGGGUUCACUUUCGCAAACAGCUUUGCUUUACCAAUGACACGUUUAGUUCAGAUGUUAGGACUGAUCUUGUGUAAGUAUGGCCAGGAAUGUUAGCUAAAAUAGCAUCUGAUUUGGAUCAAAUCGAUACAGGUAAGAAAAUAAGAAAAGCCACUGUAAAACAAAAUUCCACAAUACUUGGUAUAUAUUGUAAUUUGUUUCUAUC